rnacentral:rRNA from 1 species
CGGACGGGUGAGUAACGCGUGAGAAUCUACCCUUAGGAGGGGGAUAACAGUUGGAAACGACUGCUAAUACCCCAUAUGCCGCAAGGUGAAACCUUUUUGGCCUGAGGAUGAGCUCGCGGUGGAUUAGCUAGUUGGUGGGGUAAUGGCCUACCAAGGCGACGAUCAGUAGCUGGUCUGAGAGGAUGAUCAGCCACACUGGGACUGAGACACGGCCCAGACUCCUACGGGAGGCAGCAGUGGGGAAUUUUCCGCAAUGGGCGCAAGCCUGACGGAGCAAGACCGCGUGCGGGAGGACGGCCUAUUGGUUGUAAACCGCUUUUGAUAGGGAAGAAGUUCUGACGGUACCUAUCGAAUCAGCAUCGGCUAACUCCGUGCCAGCAGCCGCGGUAAUACGGAGGAUGCAAGCGUUAUCCGGAAUUAUUGGGCGUAAAGCGUCCGUAGGUGGUUGUUCAAGUCUGCUGUUAAAGCGUGCGGCUUAACCGCAUACCAGCAGUGGAAACUGGGCGACUAGAGUGCGGUAGGGGUCAGGGGAAUUCCCAGUGUAGCGGUGAAAUGCGUAGAUAUUGGGAAGAACACCGGUGGCGAAAGCGCCUGACUGGACCUGCACUGACACUGAGGGACGAAAGCUAGGGGAGCGAAAGGGAUUAGAUACCCCUGUAGUC